rnacentral:rRNA from 1 species
AACGAACGCUGGCGGCAUGCCUAAUACAUGCAAGUCGAACGAGAUCUUCGGAUCUAGUGGCGCACGGGUGCGUAACGCGUGGGAAUCUGCCCUUGGGUUCGGAAUAACGUCGGGAAACUGACGCUAAUACCGGAUGAUGACGUAAGUCCAAAGAUUUAUCGCCCAGGGAUGAGCCCGCGUAGGAUUAGCUAGUUGGUGGGGUAAAGGCCUACCAAGGCGACGAUCCUUAGCUGGUCUGAGAGGAUGAUCAGCCACACUGGGACUGAGACACGGCCCAGACUCCUACGGGAGGCAGCAGUAGGGAAUAUUGGACAAUGGGGGCAACCCUGAUCCAGCAAUGCCGCGUGAGUGAUGAAGGCCUUAGGGUUGUAAAGCUCUCUUACCAGAGAUGAUAAUGACAGUAUCUGGGGAAUAAGCCCCGGCUAACUCCGUGCCAGCCGCCGCUGUAA